UACAGAGGGUGCGAACGUUGCUCGGAAUCACUGGGCGUAAAGCGCACGUAGGCGGAUUCGUAAGUCAGGGGUGAAAUCCCGGGGCUCAACCUCGGAACUGCCUUUGAUACUGCGGGUCUUGAGUCCGAUAGAGGUGGGUGGAAUUCCUAGUGUAGAGGUGAAAUUCGUAGAUAUUAGGAAGAACACCGGUGGCGAAGGCGGAUCUCUGGGCCUUACCUGACGCUCAGGUGCGAAAGCUAGGGGAGCGAACAGG
rnacentral:rRNA from 1 species